CUCAAAUCAGGUAGGACUACCCGCUGAACUUAAGCAUAUCAAUAAGCGGAGGAAAAGAAACUAACAAGGAUUCCCCUAGUAACGGCGAGUGAAGCGGGAAGAGCUCAAAUUUAAAAUCUGGCAGUGUAUUCUGUCCGAGUUGUAGUCUAGAGAAGCAUCAUCCGUGCUGGACCAUGUACAAGUCUCUUGGAACAGAGCGUCAUAGAGGGUGAGAAUCCCGUCCUUGACAUGGACUCCCAGUACUUUGUGUUGUGCUCUCAACGAGUCGAGUUGUUUGGGAAUGCAGCUCAAAAUGGGUGGUAAAUUCCAUCUAAAGCUAAAUAUUGGCGAGAGACCGAUAGCGAACAAGUACCGUGAGGGAAAGAUGAAAAGCACUUUGGAGAGAGAGUUAAACAGUACGUGAAAUUGUUGAAAUGGAAACGCUUGAAGUCAGUCGCGUUCUCUGGGAUUCAGCCUUGCUUUUGCUUGGUGCAUUUCCCGGUCUACGGGCCAGCAUGAAUUUUGACCAAUGGAAAAAGGCUUGGGGAAUGUGGCACCUUCGGGUGUGUUAUAGCCCCUUGUCACAUACGUUGGUUGGGAUUGAGGUCUUAGUGCACGCUUCGGUUGUGCUUUGAUGCUGGCGUAAUGGCUUUAAACGACCCGUCUUGAAACACGGACCAAGGAGUCUAACAUGUCUGCAAGUGUUUGGGUGCAAAACCCGAGCGCGUAAUGAAAGUGAUAGUUGGGAACCUCUUCAGAGGGGCACCGACGCCCGGACCAGACCUUCUGUGACGGAUCCGAGGUAGAGCAUAUAUGUUGGGACCCGAAAGAUGGUGAACUAUGCCUGCAUAGGGUGAAGCCAGAGGAAACUCUGGUGGAGGCUCGUAGCGAUUCUGACGUGCAAAUCGAUCGUCAAAUGUGGGUAUAGGGGCGAAAGACUAAUCGAACCAU
rnacentral:rRNA from 1 species